AAUGAGAUGUUAGCCGUUCCUUAUAUAUCUAGUUUUUUCCGAAAAAAGUUUAAUUUGGGCUCUUAUUUAAAGAAGUAGGAGACGUAUCUUAAGAGGGAAGAGCUUCUUAGGGCUUGAAGAUGGCAAAAAAUUCUUAUUUCUUUUGUCUAGGCUUAAAAUCAGCCAUGUUUUUAUAUCGUUAUAGGUAAUAAGAAGUUAUUGAUUUAUUUCUAUUUUGCCUUUUGUUGUAGUAGGAUAAAAUUUGUUUUGGCUUUUAAUAUAAAGUUACAUUGAUUGUAUUAGUAGGUUGUGGUGUGUCAGUUAUUUAAUUUUUAAUUCUUAUUCGAAUUUUACAUUGUAGGCGCUGUUAAGGUUAAAGAAUUCGGCAAAUGUUGCUUCUGCCUGUUUAUCAAAAACAUGUCUGUGCGGGUGUUGAUGUACAGUCUGGCCUGCCCCCUGAGAUUUUAAAGGGCCGCGGUAUUUGGACCGUGCUAAGGUAGCAUAAUAAAUAGUCUUUUAAUUGAAGUCUAGUAUGAAUGGUCGGACAUGAAGUAAGCUGUUUCAGCCUUAACAACUAAAUUUUACCUUUAAGUGAAAAGGCUUAGAUUGGAUGGUGGGACGAUAAGACCCUAUAAAGCUUUACACUGUGUCUAUUGGUCUGUGGGUCUAAGGUUUCCAAUCCCUGUUAGGCAGAGCGUUUCGUUGGGGCGACGGGAAUAAAAAUAGUAACUGUUUUUUACAUAAAAAUAUAUGUAUAUAGGUGUAUUGAUCCUUUUUAGAGAUUAUAAGAUUUAAGUUACUUUAGGGAUAACAGCGUAAUUUCUCUUGAGAGUUCAUAUCGACAGAUGUAGUUGCGACCUCGAUGUUGAAUUAAAGUGUCCCCAAGGUGUAGCAGUUUUGGUGGUAGGUCUGUUCGACCUUUAAAAUUUUACAUGAUUUGAGUUCAGACCGGCGUGAGCCAGGUUAGUUUCUAUCUUUCGUUUUUACUGGGGCUAUUUUAGUACGAAAGGAGAGGAUAGCCAAAAAACUUUUUGGAAUUAGAUGAUUGAUAAUUACUUUGGCAGAUGAAUGUGCUAGAUUUAGGAUCUAGUUAU
rnacentral:rRNA from 1 species